rnacentral:rRNA from 1 species
AUUGAACGCUGGCGGCAGGCCUAACACAUGCAAGUCGAACGAGUGGCGGACGGGUGAGUAAUGUCUGGGAAACUGCCUGAUGGGAGGGGAUAACUACUGGAAACGGUAGCUAAUACCGCAUACCAGUGGAAGUGACCAGAUGGGAUUAGCUAGUAGGUGGGGUAACGGCUCACCUAGGCGACGAUCCCUAGCUGGUCUGAGAGGAUGACCAGCCACACUGGAACUGAGACACGGUCCAGACUCCUACGGGAGGCAGCAGUGGGGAAUAUGGCACAAUGGGCGCAAGCCUGAUGCAGCCAUGCCGCGUGUAUGAAGAAGGCCUUCGGGUUGUAAAGUACUUUCAGCGGGGAGGCGUUACCCGCAGAAGAAGCACCGGCUAACUCCGUGCCAGCAGCCGCGGUAAUUC